AGGGGUGGAAGAGGUCAGAGAGGUGGAAGAGGAGAUAAUGCAGGUCCAAGUACUGGAGUUGGCAGCAGAGGAAGGAGAGGGAGAGGAGGCAGAGAUGCAGAGGAAGAGAACAGAGUUCAGAUGAUCCAAAUUGACCGAAGGGUCCGGACAGACGGCAUGAGUGAAGUGAGGCUACGAGCACUAGCAACCCAGGUCUUCUCCCGGAAUCCUGGAUUAGUUUUUGAUGCACUUCCUCCAUUGGACAGCACAACCCCACCUAACGCUGCUCUUCCAUGGUGCACCUUUGGGAACUGCAGGGAAAUGGCCACAGACGCUGAAAGGGACUACUGCAUCAGCAAAUUGGCACAUUUUGAUCUGUAUUGUCUGGAAGAUGGUUAUUUGCGUAUUCACAGAGAUUACAGAGAUGAUAAGUUGGCGGUAGCUGAAGUUAUAGAGCCAGGAGAUGAUAACAGACAAUUUAGGUAUGCUGCUUAUCGUCAAUACAUCUUUUGGCAGCAUCGGUCACUGGGUCUGGGUAACCGUCGUGUUAUUCCCAGCCUCUGUAUAUGGAAAAUAAGGGACAAAUACCCUGACCCCCAAGGCCAGUACACUGGCUUUGUACCCACCAUUUGAUACCAUUCUAACGUGAACAGUUAAAUUCAAGUUAUUUAUUGUUGUAUAUAUGGUUUAACAAAUUGUUUUUUGAUUUGAUCUGUUUUUUGGUUUGUUUGUUUGUAAAAAGCCUUCCUCAUUUUUUCAAUAAAAAAAGUUUAUUUAGAAUAACAAUACUAUGCUUUUUACAAUGAAGAGAAACAGUAUAUAAAACGGUAUAAUGAUAAAUGUUACACAGUAUAAAUAGAAAACUAGACUCUGUACUGUUUAAACUUUUAGACUGAAAUUUUUGAUAAGCAGCUUGUGACACAAAAGUUUACAUGGCCAUGAAGAUGGUCAGGGUUGUGAGGCUCUGGAAACUGGGCUUCACAGGUCUUUAGUCUGGAAUGUUGACACUGAGGAGAGCAAAAUAAAACCUGAAGUUAGUUUAUUUCAAA